rnacentral:rRNA from 1 species
CCUACGGGGGGCAGCAGUGAGGAAUAUUGGUCAAUGGGCUUACGCCUGAACCAGCCAAGUCGCGUGAGGGAAGACUGCCCUAUGGGUUGUAAACCUCUUUUGUCAGGGAGCAACGCCGGCUACGUGUAGCCGGACUGAGAGUACCUGCAGAAAAAGCAUCGGCAAACUCCGUCCCAGCAGCCGCGGUAAUACGGAGGAGGAGAGCGUUAUCGGGAUUUAUUGGGUUUAAGGGGUGCGUAGGCGGAAUGCCAAGUCAGCGGUAAAAUCGCGGGGCUCAACCGCGCUCCGCCGUUGAAACUGGCGGUCUUGAGUGGGCGAGAGGUAUGCGGAAUGCGUGGUGUAGCGGUGAAAUGCAUAGAUAUCACGCGGAACUCCGAUUGCGAAGGCAGCAUACCGGCGCCCGACUGACGCUGAGGCACGAAAGCGUGGGUAUCGAACAGGAUUAGAUACCCCGGUAGUC